ensembl:processed_transcript 4930405A21Rik RIKEN cDNA 4930405A21 gene
CCGCCCUCUCGAACCGCCCCGCCAAACCGGUUCCAGCUGGAACGCAAUGCGUGGUCUGUACGGGAGUUGGAGUGGCCGUCCGUCCCUGCGGGCUCACCCUGGUGGCGACGCCUCGCUGUAGCAGAUGGUGGCAGAGUGUCAUAAGGGGCAGUGUCCUUUUCUUAACUCGGCACAAAAGUACUACAUGGACCAGCUGCAGCUCUGGCCAGAAGCCUGGCGAUCUGGUGGCUCCGGCUUUCCUAGGUGGCAGGAUCAAGAUGUAAAACUCUCAACUACUUCUGCCACACCAUGCCUACCUGCCUGCUGCCACGCUCCCCACCAUGAUGAUCUUGGACUAAGCCUCUGAAACUAAGCCAGCCUCCAGUUCCAUGCUUUCCUUUAUAAGAGUCACCUUGAGCCAGGUGGGGCCAGUGCUGUACGCCUUUAUUCCUAGCACUCAGAGGCAAAGGCAGGUGGACCUCUGUGAGUUUUGAGGCCAAGAUGGUUUAUAGAGCUAGUUUCAGGACAACCAGGACUACACAAAGAAACCCUGUCUCACCCUCCA